rnacentral:lncRNA from 1 species
AAUAGAAAUGCAUACAUGUCAAAAAAAAAUUUAAAACUCGGGUAGCUUCAAAUUAUGACAGGAUGUAUCCAAUUCCUUCCACUGAAUCCUUGAUGAUUUAAAUCAUUAAAAAAAUUAUAUACAAGUAAAAUCAAUGUUAUAGGAUUUAAAUAAAAUAAUUAGAUAAGAAUAUUUUUUAGAAAAUAAUUUAAUGAGUCCAUUCUGAAUUAUUACAUUAAGCACCGAGCUUAAAAAAAUUGACUUUAUGUAAGUUAGAAAUACAUAAAAAUCUCCUUUAAGUUAGAAAAACAAGUAUACUUAAUUAAUUUUAUAUGGUUCCCAAAAUUGUGAUCAAUCGCCUAGUUAACCCUUAUAUUUUAAAGAAUUACUCAAAACAAUUUGCUGUUAUUUUUAUAGUUGUUGGAUUAAAGUUUCAAGGUUUUUCUAGCUAUUAUCAUGUAAAAGUUCAAAUAAAUGUAAUAUGCAACUAAUGAAAAAUACAGAAUAAUUAAAUAGAUUUAAAUAAAAAUAAAGAUAUAAUUUAGAUAUUUUAAAUACGUUUGAACAAUAUGUGGACUAAAAAGAUAAUUAACUCAAAACUCGAGAACUAAAGUAGGGAUUACCCACUUAAUACCAAUCAACGGUUGUUGGUUUGUGCGGAAGAAAAGGACGUGUGGAUUAAAGUAGUAAUUAUCUGUUGACUGAUUGGAAGCAAAUUAAUUGGUAAUAAAAUAAAGUAGCAGGCUUUUGGCUAAUUGAAUAUUUCUGCCGACUGCAUUGUCCAUAGCACUGGACGGAUCCAAUAUAGGAUCAGCUAGGGUUGGCCAAAUGACGUGUGGAUUAAAGUAGUAAUUAGCUGUUGACUGAUUGAAAGCAAAGCGGUUCCGAUAUUCUCACAACAAAUAGCACAAUAUUAUGCACCGAACGGUGCGUUUUUGGCAUCAUAUAAAAUGUUACUAUUGAACACAAGAACAAGGCAGACAACUCGCGCAUUCUCCCCUAAUUCCCACCAAAUUCACAGCUCACUGAACACAUGCACAUUCUCCCCCUGAUUUUCACCAAAUCCACAGCUCACUUAAGCUAAAUCCGACCAGCAAAUUCUCACUUCAUUCUCUGUAGAAUGUUAGAGAAUAAUAAGAAUAUGGAGGCAAAGAACAAAGAAAAUUUCUUAAGCAAAGAACAAAGAAAAUUUCUUCCUUUAAGGUUUUAUUUGCCCUCUCCAAUCUUGGUUUGCUAUAGAGUAUUAAUGGCAAAUUACCCCCAAGAUAUAUCAAAUCCUGAAUACAAUCUCUAGCAAAUAAGAUUGUAUUUCCAGAACAUUUAUGAAACCUGCAAAAUCUGAUGAUAAUCUAAUUGUAAAAACCUUUUUUUUGGUUUGAAUUUGCAGCGAUUAACACUUGAAAUUUUCAAGCUUGUCAACCGUUUCUAGUUGACGCCUUUCUGGAAAUAAACGGUUAACCGUUUUCUCAAUAAACGGUGAGCCGUUUUAUUCCAGAAUGUCAAAUACGUUGCUCUCUGUACAUAAACGGUUAACCGUUUUCUCAAUAACCGGUGAGCCGUUUUCUCUAGACCAUAAAACAUGCUCUCUGGGUUUAAACGGUUAGCCGUUUUCUCCAUAAACGGUGAGCCGUUUUCUCUAGACCAUAAAACAUGCUCUCUGGAGUUAAACGGUUAGCCGUUUUCUCCAUAAACGGUACGCUGUUUUACCCAGAACAGAAAACAUGCUCUCUGGACUUAAACGGUUAGCCGUUGUCUCAAUAAACGGCAAACCGUUUUCGUCCAGAAUAUCAAACCAAAAAACUUAAAAGAUGUUACAAUCUCUCUUACAAUCCCCACUAGAUUGUAAUAUUUUUUCAGAUUUAUUAAUGAUAAACUUAUACAUACAAAAAGGUAUCUUUCGAUUUUAACCUUUAAUUAGUGAGUGUAUUUCAAAGCAUUUACAAGACAAUAGUGUGCUAAGCAUUAAACUUUGUCUCUUAAGUAAAUACCGGAGAUACAUCACAUAUAAGUUAUCCCAGAUUUCAAAGUUGUGUUCCAAUAGUUAGCAUUAUUCCGGCCUUGUGCUCUAUCUUGGAUUCAUGAACAUUUACAAGAUUAAACCAGGACCUUGUUAGAAACGACACCAUUUCUUAUGUUCACUUAGGUGAAGUUUCAAAUCAUGUCUUUAGCUACUAUAAGACUUGAACUUCAUUAAGAAUAAAUACUCAACCUCAACCUCGUAGUUAUUUGCACCGAAUAUCUCGAAUAGGAUUAUUUAUUACUCGGUGCCAAUCUAGUCACAUAACAACAACUUGUUAUUACCCAUUUAACUAUGGAGUAGCGGUAUAACUACUACAUAGUUGGGUUACCGUCGUUGGUGACUUUAUUGUGUAAAGAUUUCAAUCUCAUUCCAAAAGAUGUAUCCUUAACUAAGUCUCUUAAAAGACCUUUUGUUAAAGGAUCUGCUAGGUUCUUAUUAGUCCUAACAUAAACAAUAUUAAUAACACCAUUUGCUAUUAAUUGUUUCACAUAUUCAUGUCUCAAGCUAAUAUGUCUAGACUUUCCAUUAUAUACUUUAUUAUAAGCUCUAGACAAUGUAGCUUCACUGUCGCAGUACAAAGAAAUAGAUGGCAUCGGCUGUGGCCACAACAUUAUAUUAAACAAUAAAUUUCUCAGCCAUUCUGCUUCUUUGCCUGCAGCCGCAAGUGCUAUAAACUCACUUUCCAUUGUUGAAUGAGUUAUGCACGUUUGUUUCUUUGAAGCCCAAGAAACCGCUCCUCCAGCAAUUGUAAAAAUCCAACCAGAAGUGGAUUUAUUAUCUUUUGUAUUGGUUACCCAACUAGCAUAUGAAUAUCCUUUCAAUACUUCAGGAUAAUCAUUAUAAAACAAACCCAAAUUAAUGGUCCUUUUAAGAUAACCAAGUAUCCUACCAAUUGCUUUCUAGUGUUCAACACUAGGGUUACUCGUGAAUCUUGACAUUUUGCAAACUGCAAAUGCUAUAUCAGGCCUCGUACAAUGCAUAGCAUACAUCAAGCUACCAAUAGCACUAGCAUAUUCUAGUUGUGCUACUACUCGGCCUGAAUUUUCUAGUAAUUUAAUACUAGAAUCAUAUGGGGUAUUAGCUUCUUUAAAUUUCAAAUAAUUGAAUUUAAGAAGCACUUUCUCUAUAUAAUGAGAUUGACACAACGAGUAACCCCCACUAUGUUUAUUCACUUUGACACCUAAGAUAGUAUCUACUUCACCAAGAUCUUUCAUCUUAAAUUGUGAAGUUAAAUACUUCUUUGUAUCAUCUACUCCUUGCAUAUUUAUUCCAAAGAUAAGCAAGUCAUCAACAUACAAGCAUAUAAUCACACCAAAGUCAUUCGUAAAUUUAAAAUAUAUACAUUUAUCAGCAUUAUUAUGCUUAAAACCAUGUGAUAAAAUUACCGAAUCAAACUUCUCAUGCCAUUGUUUUGGUGCUUGCUUUAAGCCAUAAAGAGAUUUGACUAACUUGCAUACAUUUUUCUCAUUUCCAGGCAAAAUAAAUCCCUCAGGUUGUUUCAUAUAGAUUUCUUCAUCAAGAUCACCAUUAAGAAAAGCUGUUUUAACAUCCAUUUGAUACACAUACAAAUUGUUCAAUGAAGCAAUUGCAAAUAGCACUCUUAUAGAAGUUAACCUAGCUACCGGAGCAUAUGUAUCGAAAUAAUCAAUACCAUUUCUUUGCUUAAACCCUUUGGCUACUAAUCUAGCUUUAAAAGUUUGCAAAAAACCAUCACUAUUGUACUUUCUUCUAAAUACCCAUUUGCUGCUAAUUGGUUUAGAUCCUGGAGGAAGAUCAACCAAGACCCAUGUUUGAUUCGACAUAAUUGAAUCCAUUUCAUCAUUUACCGCCUCUUUCCAAAAAGAAGCGUCUCUAGAAGACAUAGCCUCGCUAAAUGUCUUUGGAUCUUUUUCAAUAUUUAACAACAAUGGUACUUUGUUAAGUACAUUCUUUCUAUCCCCUUCAACCAAGAAGAGUAAUGCUUGUGAUGAAAUAAAAUCCGGAGCUAAACUCUUUUCUUUCUUUUCACGUUGACUCCUCCUUGGUUCGAAAGAUGUCAUAGACUCUUUCCUUUUAUUAUUAUUAGUGGAGGUACUAGGAGUAUUAACACAUGGUUGAUCAAUACUUGAUUCUAAUUCAAUAUUAUAAUCAUGUUGAAAUUUAUUCUCUAUAAAUUCAACAUCUCUAGAUUCUACAAUUACAUUAGAAUCUAAAUCUAACAACCUAUAAGUCUUGGAAUUUUCAGCAUAUCCUACGAAAACACUUUUUAUACCUCUAGCACUCAACUUUGAUGACUUAGGGUCAUGUAUUUUAUAAAAAGCUAAACAACCCCAGACUCUUAAAUACAUCAAGUUUGGUUUUCUUCCUUUCCAAAUUUCAUAAGGAGAUAUAUGUGUUUUCAAAGAUGUAAUUCUGUUAUGAAUAUGACAUGCAGUGAGUAAUGCUUCCUCCCACAAAUUAUUAGGUAGUUAUGCAUUAAGGAUCAUAGAAUUUAUCAUAUCUGUGAAAAUCCUAUUCUUCCUUUCAGCCAAACCAUUUUGUUGAUGAGUAAAUGGAGCUAUUCUUUGGUGAAUAAUUCCAAAUUCUUCACAAUAAUUAUUAAAUUCAAUUGAGAAAUAUUCACCACUUCUAUCACUACGAACCAUUUUGAUUUUCUUAUCUUUUUGGUUCUCAACUUCAGCUUUGAAAAUUUUAAAUUUAUCAAAAGCUUCAUUUUUUGUUCUAAGUAAAUACACAUAAGUGUAUCUAGAACAAUCAUCAAUAAACGUGAUAAAGUACCUCUUACCUCCUCUUGUUAACAUGCCAUUAUACUCACAAAUAUCGAUAUGUAUUAAAUCCAAUAUUUGAGUAUUUCGUUCAGCUUUAGGAAAAGGUUUCUUAGUUAAUUUAGCUUGGAUGCAGAUUUCACACUUAUGACCUUUAACAUCAUUGCAAUUAAUCAAACCAUGCUUAGACAUGUAUUUCAAAGAUCUAAAGUUCAAAUGUGCUAAUCUAGCAUGCCAAACAUCACAAGACUUAACAAUAUAAGCUAAGUUGAUAUUAUUAUUAUUAUUAAUGCUGAGUUUGUACAUUCCAUCACAAGAAUACCCUUUCCCAACAAAUAAUCCAUUCUUUGAGAUAAUACAAGUAUUACUCUCAAGCACAAUCUUAAGCCCCAUGCUUACACAUACAACUAGCAGAAAUAAGAUUCUUCCUAACGGAAGGUACAUGAAAGACAUUAUACAAUGUGACUUUCUUUCUAGAAGUGAAGUUGAUCUCAACAACUCCUUUCCUUGCUACUAUGGCUGCAUUAUUAUUCCCCAUGAGAACCAUUUGUCCUUCUGUUUCUACUUUGUAUGAUAAGAAAAUUUUUUUAUCAUUACAAACAUGAAUUGUUGCACCCGAAUCGAGCCACCAAUCAUAGGACUUAGUUUCAACCAUAUUGGUUUCGGUAAUCAUGCCAAUUUGCAUUUCAGAAACCAUAGCACAAAUCUCUUCAGAUUUGUUUUCAAUGACAUUAGCUUUAUGGGAAUUUACUUCUUCCUUUUUCUUCUUGAAUCUGCAAUCACUUUGGCGAUGGCCUUUCUUACCACAAAAGAAACAAUUUCCAGAAAACUUUUGUGUGCUGGAUUUUUUGAAUUUCUUGUCAUUCUUGACCUUAAAAUUCUUUGAGAAUUUACUAGCUUCAACAACAUUAACUUUAGUAGAAUCAUACUUAUUCUUGGAUUCGCGAGACCUAGUCUCUUCUUCAAUUACCAAGUGUUUUUGCAAUUCUUCUAAAGUUGUGUUCUCUUUACUAUGAAGAAGUUUCUUUCUAUAAUCAUUCCAACUUUGAGGCAAUUUAGCAAUAAUAGCCCCAACCUGAAAUGAUUCAGAAAUUUCAACUUUUAACUCUCGAAGCUUAGCAACAAUAAUUUGUAACUCAUGUAUUUGAUCAAGAAUGGAUUUUGUGUCAACCAUAAUAAAUUCAAAAUAUUUAGAUAUAAGAAAUUUGUCAGUACCUUCUUUCUCUGUUUUGUAUUUGUAUUCAAGAGCAUUCCAAAUUUCCACCGGAGAAGUCAUAGAAUUGUAGAGAUCAUACAAUCUGUCAGAAAGCGUAUUGAGUAUGUGACCCCUGCACAUUAAUUCAUCAUCUUCACGACGUUUCCUUGCAGCCUUAACAACUUUGAUAUCAUCUUCUCUUGGUUCUGGAAAUGGCUCCAAUUUCGGAUCAAGAACAUAUGCCACUUUAAGAACAGUAAGAAGAAAGAACAAUUUUUCCUUCCAACGAGUGAAAUUAGUUCCAUUAAAACGAACACUAGGAUUAAGAAAUGACGUUAAACUCUUCUCAGCCUCCAUUUAGAACAACAAUAAAACCUUAAAGAUUGUAGAAUGUUAGAGAAUAAUAAGAAUAUGGAGGCAAAGAACAAAGAAAAUUUCUUCCUUUAAGGUUUUAUUUGCCCUCUCCAAUCUUGGUUUGCUAUAGAGUAUUAAUGGCAAAUUACCCCCAAGAUAUAUCAAAUCCUGAAUACAAUCUCUAGCAAAUAAGAUUGUAUUUCCAGAACAUUUAUGAAACCUGCAAAAUCUGAUGAUAAUCUAAUUGUAUAUGUUUCCUUUAUGAAGAAGAUGUUAAUUCAAAAGAAUGCAACCAUUCGAAAUGGUACUUCUUCAAAAAACCUUUUUUUUGGUUUGAAUUUGCAGCGAUUAACACUUGAAAUUUUCAAGCUUGUCAACCGUUUCUAGUUGACGCCUUUCUGGAAAUAAACGGUUAACCGUUUUCUCAAUAAACGGUGAGCCGUUUUAUUCCAGAAUGUCAAAUACGUUGCUCUCUGUACAUAAACGGUUAACCGUUUUCUCAAUAACCGGUGAGUCGUUUUCUCUAGACCAUAAAACAUGCUCUCUGGGUUUAAACGGUUAGCCGUUUUCUCCAUAAACGGUGAGCCGUUUUCUCUAGACCAUAAAACAUGCUCUCUGGAGUUAAACGGUUAGCCGUUUUCUCCAUAAACGGUACGAUGUUUUACCCAGAACAGAAAACAUGCUCUCUGAACUUAAACGGUUAGCCGUUUUCUCAAUAAACGGCAAACCGUUUUCGUCCAGAAUAUCAAACCAAAAAACUUGAAAGAUGUUACAAUCUCUCUUACAUUCUCUCGGCUGGGCUUCACUCUCUUGGCUUCAUUUCACUCGUUGUCAUCUGCCGUAAUCAAUUUGCUGAGUUAAUUUGCUUCAUUUAUUCGAAUUUUGGUUGUGGUGGUUAUGAAUUUGUGAAGAUUUAGCUUGCAUUUUGUUAAUUUUUGUUAACAAUAUAUAAGUGCAAAUUAAAGUACCCUUUUAUAUAUAUACAGUUCAUGAAUUGCUGAUUUUGAGAUGAUUAUACAAGAAAAUAUGAGUUGCAACAGGCUUUAUGAGUUAGAUUAUUUUGCUGUGAAUUUGUUUAGCUUUAUGACUUAGAUUCAGCUAGCAUUGAGGCAACAUUACAACCUCUCUGGAUGCAAACGGUUAGCCGUUAGUGUGUAAACGGCUAGCCAAUAUCGAGUGAAAUUGGGGUCUAGGUUCUGGACGAAAACGGCUAACCUCCGCAAAGGAUUACAGCAGCCGAGAGAGUGAGACAACUAUGAAGAGAUAAAGAGAGAAAGACAUAGCCAAAUCGACGGUGAAAAGGGAGCAACAUGAGAGGGCUAAGCGUGAAACUUGUGUGAGGAAAGGAGCAAGGUCAAAUGUGUGCGUGAGACUUGUGUGAGGAACUGAUUUUGAGUUGAAUUUAUAUUCAACUCAAAAUGCACCGUUCGGUGCUAUAAGUUGUGAUUAAUGUUGUGUGAGCAUCAUUUUCCGAAAGCAAAUUAAUUGGUAAUAAAAUAAAGUUGCAGGCUUUUGGCUGAUUGAAUAUUUGUGCCGGAUUUUUUCAAGUUCAGGUCCAAGCCUAUAUUAUUGAUAAUAAGUUAGACUUUUCAAAAGUUCAUCCAAAUUUAGAUAGGCCAAGCUUGGACUGUGCUUGAACCAAAGCCUAAAUUUUUUCAAUAAAUAUAAAAUAAUUUUUAAUGAAGUAAAAAAUAUUUAAUUAUAGAGUCUAACGUAUAUUAAAAUUUUGAAUUCUAAUGUUUCAAUUAGUAUACCAGCUAUCCAUUUGUAAUAAGAUUAAAAUACCAACUCAUUCAGUAAAUAUUUCUUUUAUUGUUACUCGAAAUUGGUUGCGCCCGUGAGCUGCUCAGAAACUUAAACUAGUAGAAAAUAUCGGUCGCUACGGAUUGCGUUAAACUUAUUCCGUAAGACCGUGAACGUUUGUAUAUGAAAAAUGUUAAUAAGACAGAGCACUGAAAUAAACAGUGAAAAAUCCGAAUUGGUUAACACUAGCUCAUGUAUCACUGAUGCAUAUAAUUGCUCAUUGUAUAUUAGAGAAUUAUUAUCCUGUGAUGAACAUCUAUGUUGAGACCAAAAGAGGGGGGGAAAAUCAGCAUGUAAUUAAAUAAAUAAAGUGACUAGGAUAUAAGAAAUGUAGAAAUUAUACACUUAAUUUUGAUUUAAAUUUUAAAAUAUAUACUGUUCUAAUUUAUAAACAGUGGAUAAUAAAUAAGUGUGUACAAAUAGUCAAAUUAUAUAAAUAAAAAAUCUUAAGAAAAAAAAUAGAAAAGAGAGAGAGCGUUAUGCUAAAAAGAUCGCGGGGCUGAUUUAUGGCUCCAUUAUGACUGUAUCGAGGUUUUACACCCUCCUUCUGUUUUGCCUUAGUUUUCACUAGGCACAUUUAUGUAUUAAAAUGAAAAAAAAAAGUAAAAGAAAAAAAAUCACCGGUAGGGUUGGUAAAACAUGGGUUUGGGUUCGGGUAUAACAAUGUCGGGACCAAACCUGGAUGUAAUUUUUAAAUACCCAGGCCGAGUUUUAAUCCAGGUACCUGGAUUUUGUAUUUUUUUAAUAUUAUAUAUGUAUCUUUUUUUUUGUAAUUUUAUAAGUUUCAAAUUUAUUUCAAUAAAAUUUAGUAUGAAAAUAUAAACUUUAAGUAUUUAAAACUUUAGAUAUGUGUAAUAGAUGAGUUACAUAAAUAUAAAUAUUUAAAAUAAUUUAUAUUUUAUAAUUUUUUUUAAUAAAAUCUAAGUUUCGGACCGAGUCCCAAAUUUAUCAAGUAAUGCCAAAACUAAUACCCGACCCACAAUACCUGAGUGAGGUACGGGUCCGGACUGGAGUAUUUUUACCACCCCUAGAAUUCAAGGGGCUAGUAAAAAUAGGAUAAAACAAAUUUAUAUUUUUUUAAUUACUUUUAAAUUAAUUAAGUAAAAUUGACACCGAUUUUAUUUUAUUUUAUUUCUGUCAGCAUCCUAUCAAACUUUUUGUCUGAAAUAUGGCUCAUGAGUGAAAAUAAUUGGUUACCUUAUCUGACUUCCGACGAUAUUGAAACUUGGGCGGUCCGGUUGAACCACCGUAGUCCUCUUCAAGCUCGGCCUGAAAGGAGGCUUCAGCUUUGAUUCUCUAUAUUCAGUCCCGUCACCUUUUGGUACAAGGACCGUAAUUCUAUCACGAAACUGAAUGAUCUUCAUCUCAUCGGGAUCAACGGUCAUAGUAAUUCCCUCGAUCGGCCUCAUGUCAGCAUUCAGUGUCCCAUCCAAAUAAUAACACAUCAUCUUAACAAUCCUCUUAUUCUUCCUCUCCUCCCCAAACCACCCCAGAGUAAAACUCCCGCACUCCACCUCUUCGAGCUUAAGCCCUCUCUUGCUAAUCGAAGCCACGAACAGCGGGUAAGUGGACGCCAACUUGUUUGCAUCCUCUUGUUCUUCCUCAGUAAGCAAAGGGUAUCCAUAGCCGUUGUAAGUCUUUUUGGACGUAAUUUCUUGCAGCGAUAAGUCCACGAUGAUCUCGUGCGUUUGAUGGUCUAUACGUGCGACAACAAAGGCUUGGCGAGGUGGGUUUGUGGUGGUUUCGUUUCUGAGCCAUGAGAGAACUGUUUGUUUGGUUCGUUCUUCUAAGCCUACGUAUUGAAAGGUUAAGUUGUGGGUUGAUUUGGGGUAAGCCUUUGUGACAAUGCUUCGGAUUUGAGUGAAUUCCGAUGGAGUUAAGGAGUCGAGUGGGUGGUACUGGUGGCUGGGAAUGAGGAAGGAAAUGUGAAGAAGAAGGGCGAAAAGGAAGGUUUUGGAAGUAGCAGCCAUUGUUAGUUAACAAAUGGUAUGGUUUUGUGCAUGGCUAACUAUUUUAGAAGGAAUUUGGAUACUGAUUUUAUUUUAUUUUUUAAUGAUAGAAGCCACGUCAUUCAUGUAUUGAUUUUCACGGUUGAAAAUAAGUGUGAAUCCACCGAUAAGCACAUAGAUCAGCUUGGCUAUUCUAAUUUAACCAAGAUUCUCGAUUCGAGACUUAGGAAUACAGCUGCGUUAAAUAUUUGUUGGGAGAGUUUUACUAUCUUAGUAGUUCUACUCGACUCGAAUAUGGAUUAGUCGAAACCCAAUACGGUCUUCGCAUAUCAAAUAGUUUAAUACACCAAAAAGAAAAUAAGUGUGAAUCCAUCCCUAUAUUUAAUUACUUAUAUAAUCAUAUGCAAUAAUCAUUGUAAAAAAUUUCUAAAAAUUUAACUUAAAAAAUUUUCACAGGUUUCCUUAUAAUUUGAAUUUUUAUUUGAGCAAAUAAAAUUAUGUGAUUGGUAGCUAUUAAAUAGAAAUAAAUAAAUAAAUAUUGACUAUUCAAAAUAGAAAUGCAUAUAUGUCAAAAAAUUCUUUAAAACUCGGAUACUUUAAAUUAUGACAGGAUGUAUCCAAUUUCUUCCAUUGAAUCCUUGAUGAUUUAAAUCAUAAAAAAAAUUUAUAUACAAGUAAAAUCAAUGUUAUAGGUUUUAAAUAAAAUAAUUAGAUAAGAAUAUUUUCUAGAAAAUAACUUAAUGAGUCCAUUCUGAAUUAUUAGAUUAAACACCAAGCUAAAAAAAAAUUAUGGUUUCUAAAAUUGUGAUCAAUCACCCGGUUAGCCCUUAUAUUUUAAAUAAUUACUCAAAACAAUUUUGUUGUUACUUUUUAUAGGUGUUGGAUUAAAGUUUCAAGGUUUUUCUAGCUAUUAUAAUGUAAAAAUUCAAAUAAAUAUAAUAUGCAACUAAUGAAAAAUACAGAAUAAUUAAAUAAAUUUAAAUAAAAAUAAAGGUAUAAUUUAGAUAUUUUAAAUAAUUUUUAACAAUAUGUGGACUAAAAAAAUAAUUAACUCAAACCUCAAGAGCUAGAGUAGCAAUUACCCACUUAAUACCAAUCAGCGGUUGGUGGUAUGUGGGGAAGAAGAGGACGCGUGAUUGAAGUAAUAAUUAUCUGUUGACUGAUCGAAUGCAAAUUAAUUGGUAAUAAAAUAAAGUAGCAGCCUAGCAGAGUAGCAGGUUAUUGGCUGUUGGAAUCUUUCUGCCGGCUGCACUGUCCAUAACACUGGACGGAUCCAAUUAUCCAAUAUAGGAUCAGCUUGGGGCCGUGCCCGAGCUGGCUUUUGAAAAAGUUUUUCUACGAUUAUUAGGAAAUAUAUAUUUUAUUUAUUA